rfam:Hordeum vulgare subsp. vulgare, WGS project CAJW01000000 data, contig: morex_contig_234012
UGUCUACUUUUCUCCGUCUCAAAAUUUUUGUCUUAGGUUUGUGUAGAAAUGAAUGUAUUUAAAUGCUAAAAUGUGACUAGAUACAUUCAUAUCUAGAUAAAUCUAAGACAAAAAUUUUAGGACGGAGGGAGUAUUAU